UGAGGUUUCUGUAGUGGAUAAAACACAAAAAUACCAGCCCUCAUGGUGAAAAUGGAAUGACAAUAAACAAGAUAAAUUAGAUCUAUGCAACAAAACCAAGCCUUUGUGCACAUCUGUGGUUGUGACCAGUUGGAGAGACAUUAGGAGAUGAGAUACUAUGUUCACUCCUCACAGCUGUACCAGGGACCUGAGAUAUUCCGUCACUAUUCUAUGAGCCUGGGCUGGUGAAUGGUUCCUGCUUUCACUAUUCCAGAUGUCCAGCUCUGUACCUUGCUGCUCUCCUUAAAGCCUGCCUCCCUCUAGGGAGCUAUGGUGCAUUACUCACGAGUGACAGAACCAACGAGCUUCAUCUCCCAAGAGGCUGGUGCAUCUGUUUAAAGGAGCAGGCACUAGGCAGAGCAGCCCCCACCCCACCCUCCAUGGCAGAGUGCAGUGGGGGAAGGGAUGGGAUUUCACCAUGUUGUCCAAGCUGGUUUUGAACUCCUGGGGUCAAGAAAUCCACCUGCUUCGGCCUCCCACAGUGCUGGGA
rnacentral:lncRNA from 1 species